UACGUAGGGUGCGAGCGUUGUCCGGAAUUAUUGGGCGUAAAGGGCUCGUAGGCGGUCUGUCACGUCGGGAGUGAAAACUCGGGGCUUAACCCCGAGCCUGCUUCCGAUACGGGCAGACUAGAGGUAUGCAGGGGAGAACGGAAUUCCUGGUGUAGCGGUGAAAUGCGCAGAUAUCAGGAGGAACACCGGUGGCGAAGGCGGUUCUCUGGGCAUUACCUGACGCUGAGGAGCGAAAGUGUGGGGAGCAAACAGG
rnacentral:rRNA from 1 species